AUUGAACGCUGGCGGCAGGCCUAACACAUGCAAGUCGAGCGGGGACUUCGGUCCUAGCGGCGUACGGGUGAGUAAUGCUUGGGAAUCUGCCCAGUAGUGUGGGAUACCGUCCCGACAGGGACGCUAAUACCGCAUACGUCCUACGGGCGAAAGAGGUGGAUCUUCGGACCUCUCGCUAUUGGAUGAGCCCACGUCGGAUUAGCUAGUUGGUAGGGUAAUGGCCUACCAAGGCGACGAUCCGUAGCUGGUCUGAGAGGAUGAUCAGCCACACUGGAACUGAGACACGGUCCAGACUCCUACGGGAGGCAGCAGUGGGGAAUAUUGGACAAUGGGCGAAAGCCUGAUCCAGCCAUGCCGCGUGUGUGAAGAAGGCCUUCGGGUUGUAAAGCACUUUAAGCGGGGAGGAAGGUUCGCGGCCUAAUACGUCGCGGAAUUGACGUUACCCGCAGAAUAAGCACCGGCUAACUCUGUG
rnacentral:rRNA from 1 species